rnacentral:ncRNA from 1 species
UUUUGCGGUGUCGGAUUAUUCGACUUAAUAGGGAAGCAUAGAAAGCACAGCCCCCGCUACUGAUGGACUUAAACGCCAUAUGUCACUGAGCAAUCGGGAAGACGGCGACGCGAAAGCGCGUUCGGUCAGGAGACCUACCGCAAU